CCUGAUCAAUGUGGACGUUAUAAUUGAUGGUAACAUUUACUGAUCAUAUAAUCAGCAUGACAAUAUAACAGUAUAACAUUAUGACCACCUGACUAAUACUGUGUUGGUCCCUUUAUGCUGCUAAAACUCCUCUGACCCAGUGGUUCAUCAGAACCUCUGGGGAUGUCCUGUGGAUUCUGUGGAUCCUGUGGGUUGCAGGGUGGGUCCUACCUAGACCAGGCUGAUCCUGGACCAUCCCACAGAUGCUCAAUCAGAUCUGGAUGUGGGGAGUGUGGAACCCAGAUGUUCAGAGGGAGAUGAUGCCACAUCUGGUCCAGCCGAUGGAAGGUCUUGAAGUUCUCUGACUGGCCUCGACUGAAGAUGGUCGUCUCACUGGAUUUAAGGUUCAGAUGUUCAGUAACAAACUCCACCAAUGUGCCAACAGGGAAGCUUUAGGUUUAUUAAAUGUUGCUAUGAAGGUAUCGUUGUUUUUCUUUGUGAAUGCAAUGUGCUCCAACUGAAACUUGAAUUAGAACUUAGAAGUAAAUCCUUCCAUCUGAGAGGAUUUAGUUGCAUUAAUAACCUCAUAACAUUCUAAUUUUUAUUCCAGUCUUGGUUGGAAAUAGAAUCUCUGUAUUGAUUCAGGUAAAAACUGAACUUCACAGCAUGUUGGAGCAAAACAACCAGAUGAAAACUGUGAUGGUGUUGGAUUGUCAGACCGUAACGUUGCAGCUCAAAGCAGCUUUUCUAGCUCAGUUCAUUCUGACAUUCAGCUAUGAAUCAACACAGCAGAUGGUGAUCCAUGCUGUGGAAGUCUCACAUCUCCUGAUUUAAUGGAGCUGCUUUGCACUUUUUACACUGUUUAUUCACCAACACUUUAUUUAAUAAAAGUCCCAUCUAGUUUUUAUGAGGAAUGUGAUGUUUUAAUUUCUCUGUGAAUAACUGCAGUCUAAUGCAACAGCUGGAGUUGUAACAUCUGUCCUGAUAUUGAUCAUGAAGUAUUGAUCAGAAUACUUAUGGUCAGCAGUCAUCCCUGAAGUGUUUAUAUUAAAAUCUUUACUUGUGUUGUGAAAUUUGGUAAGAAGCAGAAACGUUAGCGUUGCCAUGGAUACAUGAGUGUUAAAUUCUGUCCAUGUUUCAUUUUGGGAAAUGCAGUCCAGUUCUAGAAUGUGGAGGAAUUUAGUCUCACAAUCACAGACAACAAAUAUUAUCUGAAAGUCGGGUUAUUGUUGUUUAUCAGCACAAUACAAAAAGAUUAAUGUUAGAAAUAUUCCAGUUAAGACUCUAGAAUAUCAUGAUUUAUGUAAAUUUCCCUCAAUAAUAUGAAUGUUCAGGUUAAGAUUGUACAGUGAUAUUUAUUAUGCAAGUUUAGCUGAUUAAAGUUUAUGACUCUGCACUAAAAUAUUAUUUAAAUUGACAUCAUUAUUAUAAUAUUUAGGGUCAGACCCUACAGUAUUGAGAUUAAAAAAUCAAAUAUUCUAUAAAAUGUAAAUACACUGAAUUCAUUUGGAUAUUUUUAAGUGAGACUCUACAAUAUUAUUUGACACAAAUCUAUCUAAAUCAAAAUUUUAAUAAUUUUUACUCCAAACAUUUACUGGACUGAUUUAAACAUUAAAAUCACUCCUUUCUAAUCCUCUGCUGUAUGUUCAAACCUGAGGCCUUAAAUAGAAACACAAGUAUCUGUUUGAAGGAACUUCUGCAGAGUCCUGGUUCCAGAACAUGAUGAUAGAAUUAUAGACAAACUUUAACAAAAGCUGCCUGAGAGUUUACAGGUUUUUAUGUUGGAUUUCUUCAGUAAUUUAUUGAGAGUUAUCAGCAAUAAUCAAGUGUUCAUUUGAUGAACUUCAUUUCCUAAAACAUCCAGAAUUGGAGCUCAUAUCUUUGGCAGCUGUAAAGUUUCUGCUCCUUCAAAGUUCACAACACAAUGAAUGAAUUCCUAAAACACUCUCAAUGCUGGAGAGCGUUUGUGAUGCUGAAGCAGUGACCAGUUUUUCUGUUUCUUCUCUGGAGAUGCACAAUGAGGGACGUCUGCAGAGAAUGAGAAAGAGUCUCACCACAUCCUGAUAUGAGGAAAAAGACUUUAUUGAAGACUACAAUGAGAAAAACUAUCAGACAGCAGACGGCUGCAUUCAAGUCUGUAGCUGCUGAAUUCAUGGAUGAAUCAUCUGGCACUAGAGAGGAAGACCAUCAAACAUCCACAUCAGCUGAUGGAGGUCCAAGAGUCUCACCAAACAACCUACAGAGUGAAGACCUUGAAUCUGAUUGGACGGCCUCCUAUUCAGCCACGUGUGAACAAAUGCCUCUAAGCCGAUUUGUUUUCUAAAAUAAAUCUAGUUUGAGUCCUAAUCUAUGCCUGUGUGUUUGCUUCUUUACACCGCUGUUAACAGUUUAGGCUGUUAGAUUGUUCCAGAUAAGACAAGUACAAGAUUCUUCAGAGCCGUUCUACCACGAGCCUGACAGGAAGAACUCCAACAGCUACUGAAUGUUCCUGUGGUUCCCUCAAGGCUACAGGAGGAGUCCUACGAGGACGAGCAGGUCCACCUGAUGGCGGCCAGUCGCUGCGGUUCAAAGCCAACACCGACUACGUGGACUUCUACUGGACCACACGGAGGCCUUCAAACCGGACCAACAAGUUCAGCGACUCCCCGACUCGUGGGUCUGAGGACGCCGCCGAGCCUCGGCCCAGCCGGCCUCCUGUCUGUGGAUGUUUGAGUGCUGAGAGGUUUGUGGAUGCAUGUGAACGUGUCUGUGUUGAAACAGCAGCUUUUGACUCACUAAGGCCGGGAAAAACCAAGAGCUCCUUUAUUUGUGACUUCCACUAAAAAACUGAUGAAAAUAAGUUUGCCAGGGUUCUCACUGAUAACAGAUUAUUAAAUAAUGAAAAUAAUCAUUUAAAUAUUCCUUUAAACAAUCCUUUUAGGUCUACAUUUCCUUUACACUGACUUCUUGGUAUUUUGGGUGGAAUAUACCAUUAAGCCUAAUGUUCAAGGGUUUUUCUGGGAAUAUACCAUUAAACCAACCUUUUAGGUAAAUGUUCCAGGAUGUUGGGUAGAAUAUACCAUCAGAUCAACCUUUUAGGUCUACAUUGGAAGAUUUUAGAGUAGAAUAUUACUCCAAACCAUCCUUUAGGUCUACAUUUAAGGUGGAAUACUCCUUUACACCAAGAUUUUUUGGUCUACAUUGAAGGAUUUUAGGUGGAAUAUUCCUUUGAAUGAACUUUUUAAGUUUAUGUUCAAGGAUGUUGGGUGGAAUAUACCAUCAGACCAACCUCUGAGGUCUACAGUAGUGAA